GAUGAACGCUGGCGGCGUGCCUAAUACAUGCAAGUCGAGCGAACAGACGAGGAGCUUGCUCCUCUGACGUUAGCGGCGGACGGGUGAGUAACACGUGGAUAACCUACCUAUAAGACUGGGAUAACUUCGGGAAACCGGAGCUAAUACCGGAUAAUAUAUUGAACCGCAUGGUUCAAUAGUGAAAGACGGUUUUGCUGUCACUUAUAGAUGGAUCCGCGCCGCAUUAGCUAGUUGGUAAGGUAACGGCUUACCAAGGCAACGAUGCGUAGCCGACCUGAGAGGGUGAUCGGCCACACUGGAACUGAGACACGGUCCAGACUCCUACGGGCGGCAGCAGUAGGGAAUCUUCCGCAAUGGGCGAAAGCCUGACGGAGCAACGCCGCGUGAGUGACGAAGGUCUUCGGAUCGUAAAACUCUGUUAUUAGGGAAGAACAAAUGUGUAAGUAACUAUGCACGUCUUGACGGUACCUAAUCAGAAAGCCACGGCUAACUACGUG
rnacentral:rRNA from 1 species